AGUUUGAUCCUGGCUCAGAUUGAACGCUGGCGGCAUGCCUUACACAUGCAAGUCGAACGGCAGCACGUCCCCUCGGGGAUGGUGGCGAGUGGCGAACGGGUGAGUAACAUAUCGGAACGUAUCCAAUAAUGGGGGAUAACUAGUCGAAAGACUUGCUAAUACCGCAUACGCCCUGAGGGGGAAAGCAGGGGAUCGUAAGACCUUGCGUUAAUGGAGCGGCCGAUAUCUGAUUAGCUAGUUGGUGGGGUAAAGGCCCACCAAGGCGACGAUCAGUAGCUGGUCUGAGAGGACGACCAGCCACACUGGAACUGAGACACGGUCCAGACUCCUACGGGAGGCAGCAGUGGGGAAUUUUGGACAAUGGGCGCAAGCCUGAUCCAGCCAUUCCGCGUGAGUGAAGAAGGCCUUCGGGUUGUAAAGCUCUUUCGCAAGGGAAGAAACGAUACAGACGAAUAAUCUGUGUUAAUGACGGUACCUUGAUAAGAAGCACCGGCUAACUACGUGCCAGCAGCCGCGGUAAUACGUAGGGUGCGAGCGUUAAUCGGAAUUACUGGGCGUAAAGCGUGCGCAGGCGGCCGUGUGCGUCAGAGGUGAAAUCCCCGGGCUUAACCCGGGAACUGCCUCUGAUACGGCAUGGCUUGAGUCCGGGAGAGGG
rnacentral:rRNA from 1 species